rnacentral:misc_RNA from 1 species
GAUGAAGAACGCAGCGAAAUGCGAUAAGUAAUGUGAAUUGCAGAAUUCCGUGAAUCAUCGAAUCUCUGAACGCACAUUGCGCCCCCUGGUAUUCCGGGGGGCAUGCCUGUCCGAGCGUCAUUGCAACCUUCAAGCGCGGCUUGUGUGUUGGGUCUCGUCCCCCGUGGACGGGCCCGAAAGGCAGUGGCGGCGUCCCGACAUGGUGCCCGAGCGUAUGGGAAUCAUCUUCCGCUCGAAUCGGCCCAUGCGGCGCUGGUCGUAACCAAAUUUUUUACCGGUUGACCUCGGAUCAGGUAGGGAUACCCGCUGAACUUAAGCAUAUCAAUAAGCGGAGA